rnacentral:piRNA from 1 species
AAAUAUGGUGAACAGGAAUGGGAAUG